AUACAGAGGGUGCAAGCGUUAAUCGGAUUUACUGGGCGUAAAGCGCGCGUAGGUGGCUAAUUAAGUCAAAUGUGAAAUCCCCGAGCUUAACUUGGGAAUUGCAUUCGAUACUGGUUAGCUAGAGUAUGGGAGAGGAUGGUAGAAUUCCAGGUGUAGCGGUGAAAUGCGUAGAGAUCUGGAGGAAUACCGAUGGCGAAGGCAGCCAUCUGGCCUAAUACUGACACUGAGGUGCGAAAGCAUGGGGAGCAAACAGGAUUAGAUACCCUGGUAGUCCAUGCCGUAAACGAUGUCUACUAGCCGUUGGGGCCCUUGAGGCUUUAGUGGCGCAGCUAACGCGAUAAGUAGACCGCCUGGGGAGUACGGUCGCAAGACUAAAACUCAAAGGAAUUGACGGG
rnacentral:rRNA from 1 species